AACUAGAGUCUUGGCAGAUGAUUAAGUUAAGAAGAGGUCAUUGGGGUGGGCCCUAAUCCGAUAUGACUGGCGUCCUUAUAAAAGGAGGAUAUUUGGAAACAAAGACAAGCGGAAUGUCAUGUGAAGACGAGGGCAGAGGUUGGGGCAGAGAUUGCAGCACCCCCCAGGAGCUUGAAGAGAGGCAGGGGACAGAGUCUCCCUCCCAGCCCUCAGAAGGAACAAACCCACCAACACCCUGAUCUCAGAUUCCCACCUCCAGAACUUUCUAUUGCUUGAGCCACUCAGUUUGUGGCACUGUAUUACGACGACCCUAGCACGUUAACACAGAUUUAUGACGCUGUCCAGGAGAUGAGGAUGCCUGGCCCAAGAUGGUGUCAUCAGAGUGUUCUCGGAACUUGGAAUUGGGACAAUGAGAGAGCGGGCCAGCAGGACUGACAGAGUGCGGAGGUCCCAGGGCAGACAGGAGGACCACACGAACACCACCGAGUAGAUGCUACUAUUGUCCCCAUUUUACCAGGUGUUGAAACUAAAGUCCAAGAUGAUGAAAUAAUGCACCAGUAUCUUCAGCUGGUGACUGGAAGAGCCAAGUCUUGAACUCUAAAUUGAAGGACUCUAGUGCCAAGAUUCUCACCCACUCAUUUGGAUGAUUGCAAAGAAGGAACAAAUUAAUAAUUAUGAGCUUGAGGAGGGAGGGAUAAUGUAAAUGCAACUUACUGAAGUAUCACUUUGAAUGUCUAUUGACGAACACGCUUUGCUUAUUCAAUAUUAGGUACACUCAUGCAGGAGACCCCAGCCACGCAGAGAGUUUUCACUGGGUUCUUACGGGCAGGGUGCUCAAACACCAUACAGGAGAGAAAAAGUUCUUCUGAGGCAUUGGUGGCUCCUUUUCCAGGCAAGUUGCAACUUCCUUGGCCUUAACAGUAAAUAGUUUUGUUUUCCUGUCAUGAGACAGGACAUCUCAUUCCAUCUUCACAGAAUGCACUGUGGCCCACCCAGCCAGGUCAUCUGUGUCCCUUGAGACCAGUUCUGAACUUGAGAAUCUGAUGACUGCUAAGAACCUUCCCACAGAAGUAUGCAUGUACACAUAUGUGCAAAAUAAUGCUAUAGUUUCAAGAGGUUUGGAGAUCUGCUGAAGGUUACUGAUGGACUCCAGGUUAAAAACCUUUGCUCUAAACCAGAAUUAGACCAGAUUCCUGGGACCCCCAACCAGCCUUCAUAUUCCCUGACUAUGCCAGGUGCCUCGUCACCAGGCCAGACAUCUGGUUGUAGCUUUCUUCUCCCCUAAUUGCUUGAUGUCCACCUCUUGCUUUCUUCUUGUGUCCUGGUGAACCUGGUGAACACAUUUCAGGAGACACUGGCUUUGCUAGUUCUCAUUCUUGUUACUUACCUUGGACUUCUCUAACUAUCUUUGGCAAUUCACAUUAUUCACAAGGACACACAUACAUAUAUGUUCACACCAUAGUGGACAAUGCUUGUGGUCAGCCUAGUCCUAAUUUCACAGCCCUCUUAGUCACUGAGACUAGUACAACAGAGGUCUAUUCACAGUUCCACCAUGUACGGAUGUGCAUGUUGUUCAUUGGACAAAAGUAACUGGUUUGGGUUGGGAGAGCCAAUCACUGGGGUAGGAAUCAAGUCUAUGGUUUCCUCCUCAAUCUGGUGCCCUGGUCCGAGGCUGGUUCUUCCUGGAGGAAUGGGCAUCUUUUUCUGACUCAUACAAAUGCAGCCUGUGGAACGGUGACAUCCCGCCUAGAUAACAGUGUCAUCAAGGAGUCUAGAAGACUGACAUAUCACAGGAUAAAUUGCUAAUGCCCCUUUUCUGGUUUUAUAUCACCAGUCACCUGUCUCUUGUUUCUCCUCAAUGAAUAAAACCUUCAGUCUUC